rnacentral:rRNA from 1 species
UACGGAGGGAGCUAGCGUUAUUCGGAAUUACUGGGCGUAAAGCGCACGUAGGCGGCUUUGUAAGUUAGAGGUGAAAGCCUGGAGCUCAACUCCAGAAUUGCCUUUAAGACUGCAUCGCUUGAAUCCAGGAGAGGUGAGUGGAAUUCCGAGUGUAGAGGUGAAAUUCGUAGAUAUUCGGAAGAACACCAGUGGCGAAGGCGGCUCACUGGACUGGUAUUGACGCUG